rnacentral:tRNA from 1 species
GCCUGGGUGGCUCAGUUGGUUAAGCGUCUGACUUUGGCUCAGGUUAUGAUCUCGCAGUUCGUGAGUUCGAGCCCCACUGCGGGUU